UGACCUAGUCACCUCCUAGAGACCCCACCUCUUAAUGUUAUUGCAUUGGGAAUUAGGUUUCAAUGUAUGAAUUUUGGAGGAAUGCAAACAUUCAGAUCAGAUCUGUUUGACCUCACAGCCAAAACUGGCAGUGGAAUUUGCAUGUUGCUCCUGGAACAUAUCUAGUAAUUUUCCAUCUCUAUACAUUUUCUAUGCUGUUUCCUCUAUACUGAAUGAUCCAUACUAUCCGUUUAACUUUGUAUCUUUAAAGGCUUGUGUGUGUGCCCAUCUAUUUUGGUGAGGUUGUUACCAAAACGCCAUGGGUUUGGUCUAGGUCCUGCUUGCUGCUCACUGCACAGAAAGCCAAUCACUGAGAUGGUGAGUGUUUCCGGGGAAGAAGCUUUCAUCCGGUGCUGCAGCUGAGGAGAUGGGAGCUCAGCCUCAAAUCCAUCGCCCUGACUGACUAAAAAUGGGGUUUUAUACAACAGGCAAGAAAUGUAACAAUGUGUAGGAAACACGAACUAGGGAGGAACAAGGAGUCAUCUGGUGGCCUCAUCUGGGAGCUCAACCUCACAAGACAGACCGUCAUGUAGAGACAACUGCUACACAACAUGGGAAGAACUGCUAGAGAUGUAAAGAUGUAAAGACCCAAAAUGAAGAAGCCAGAACACAUGAACACAAAACCAGCCAACCAACAAACACAAGCAGCAUGGAGCAUAGAGUCUGGGGACCAACUGCAUGGUGCUGAGGAAUGCAGCAGUUACAAACAAACAAACUCACCAAAGAAAACACCAGACAAACAUACAUCCAAUAGUAUUGUGUCCGGAAUUGGUGGGUUCUUGGUCUCACUGACUUCAAGAAUGAAGCCACGGACCCUUGCGCUGAAGGCAAUUGAGAAAAAGAAGAUGCGAGAAGAGCUGUUUACCCUUCCUUUAUCUGCUUAAAAGCAAGGAAUAAAUUUCCAUUAUAAAGGUGUCCCCUUGUUCUCAUACCAAGAAGAGGAGACAGCAUCAAGAUUACUCUACAUAAAGAAACCCAACUAAAUAACCCUUAUCUAUAAUAGUUUCUCCCAUAUAUUUACCUUCCUACAAUUUAAUGCCCCUAGAAGCCCAAGCCCCUUUUCUUUGGUUGCUUCCCCACAAUUUAUCGUACUUUGUUAAAAUGGUAGGUAAGCUCCUAAGUGUAACCACUUCUUUGGAUUUUUUUAGUUCUUUCUCUGCAGUUCCCAUGCAUAUAAAAAUAUUAACAACAAAUAAAAUUUGUAUGCUCUUCAUUCGUUGGUCCAUCUUUUGUCAGUUUAAUUCACAAAUUAAGCUGCAGAACCUAAGAGGAUGGAGGAAAAGUUUUCCUUUCUUACAAGAUCAUGCAGCAUCUGCUUCACUUACUGAGGAGCCCCGAGCCACCAUGUAUAAAAUCUGAAUACCCGAAGACCCCCGUACUGUGAGGAAGCCCGACCACAUGGAGAGGCCACAUGAAGGUUCUCAAAUCAGAACCCCAGCUGAGGUCCCAGCCUACAACCAGUAUCAACCACCAGACAUGUGAGUAAUGAUGUUUCCAGUUGAUUCCAACCAACAGCCUUUGGG
rnacentral:lncRNA from 1 species